rnacentral:tRNA from 1 species
GCAGAUAUGGUUAAAGAUAAUAACAUCGGACUGCAAACCCGAUAUUGCGGUUUUCCGCUAUCUGCU